CCACGGGAGGCAGCAGUGGGGAAUAUUGCACAAUGGGCGAAAGCCUGAUGCAGCAACGCCGCGUGAGUGAUGAAGGCCUUCGGGUCGUAAAGCUCUUUGAUCAGGGAUGAUAAUGACAGUACCUGAAAAACAAGCCACGGCUAACUACGUGCCAGCAGCCGCGGUAAUACGUAGGUGGCGAGCGUUGUCCGGAAUUACUGGGCGUAAAGGAUGCGUAGGUGGAUAUUUAAGUGGGAUGUGAAAUCCCCGGGCUCAACCCGGGAACUGCAUUCCAAACUGGAUAUCUAGAGUGCAGGAGAGGAAAGCGGAAUUCCUAGUGUAGCGGUGAAAUGCGUAGAUAUUAGGAGGAACACCAGUGGCGAAGGCGGCUUUCUGGACUGUAACUGACACUGAGGCAUGAAAGCGUGGGUAGCAAACAGGAUUAGAUACCCUGGUAGUCCACGCCGUAAACGAUGGGUACUAGGUGUAGGAGGUAUCGACCCCUUCUGUGCCGUCGUUAACACAAUAAGUACCCCGCCUGGGGAGUACGGUCGCAAGACUAAAACUCAAAUGAAUUGACGG
rnacentral:rRNA from 1 species